UGGGUUGUGGCUUAGUGGUAGAGCACUUGCCUAGCAUGUGUGAGGCACUGAAUUCGAGCCUCAGCACCACAU
rnacentral:tRNA from 1 species